AGGACUCCAUCCCACGAACCGGGAGAUCGUGACCUGAGCCGAAAUCAAGAGGCGGACGCUCAGCCGGCUGAGGCACCCAGGUGCCCCCGGAGCAUUCUGAAACUCUUCUUGAGGUUUCUAUCAACACUGUUGGGGUGGGGGUCCCAGAAACCAGGCUGGAAGGCCUGGGGCUGCGUGAGCGACGCAGGAGUGAAACACAGAGCAGCCCGUCUGGGGCACUCCUGCACACGCCUUUGGCUCCUGCUUCUGUGUGUUGGGAUCAGAUGCACGGGGCAGGCCCGGCUCAUGGUUUGCAAUCGUUAGUCCUUCCCCUGGCUCACCAGGAGUGAGCCCCAGCACUCACAGUCAGUGUCUCACGGGCAGUCUGUUUGGAACAGCGUUGCAGAGAUGUGUCAGUUAUUCGCGUCAUGGGCAAAAUCGUUAUUGAACAGACGGCAGCAACCCGACCUUCGGCUGGAAAAGCUGACUCAAUACCCACCGCUUCAGUGUCUCCCUCUGUAAAUGGGGAUUCGGAGAUUUCCCACCCCAAAGGGCAUGUGAGGAUCGCACAGACUGAAGUGUGCUAAGCUUUGACACGAUAGAGCCAAGAAGGGUCCGUAGGCUGAGUUGUGCCUCCUCCAAAUCGUACGGUCAAGCCCUGACCUCCAGCCUCCGAAUGUGGCAGUAUGGCCUUUACAGAGGUGAUAAAGGUACAACGAGGUCAUCGGUCGAAGGUACAAUCCGACCUGGUUGGUGUUCUUACAAGAAUUCGGGACAGACAUACACAGAGAGAGACCAUGUGAGGACACGGGUAAAGCCAACAUCCACCCACCCGAGAGAGAGGUCUCAGGAGGAAGCAGCCCUGCUCACGCCAGGAUCUCGGACCUCCAGCCUCUAGCACUGGGAGGCAACGAGUUGCUCUCGUUUAAGACACCCGGCCUGCGCGGCUCCGUUCUGGCAGCCUCGGGGCACUGAUACUCAGGUGCUCAGAAAGAAUGUGUUGCUACCAGUGGGUUUUCUCAGGGGGCUUUCUGGCGUUUUAAAGUGUGGCACUCCAUUUCUUAAGGGCACCUGAGAUGCUUAGAACUUUUCCUAUGUGUUUUUAAAAAUGUAUUUUAGGAAAGUAAGUAUUAGCACAUUUUGCCGCUAUUGAGAAAUGCAACGGUAUCUGUUUUAAAAAUACACGUGUGGUUCUGUUCCAUGGAGCCCCGGAUAUCACCGGUCCACACCAUCGCCCCAGAGCUGCGGGGUCAGCAGACUCCUGAAACUGUCUCGAGGCCCGCCAUGUGCCUGGUACCGGGGCUGUGCCAGGGACUGCCACCGUCUCCGACCUCAUGGGACCCAGGUCCCAGCAAGGGAGACCGCCAGCCAGCACACACAGUCAGACUCCAGCAGCCGUCAUGACUCUCCACUCACAUCCGUUGUCAUUGUCGCGCUAUGGAGCUCCUGCCGAGGUCCCCAGUGACAAGUGCCAGGGUCAACGGCUGUGACUUCUGCUGGGAUCCCAGAGCUGGCAGGGAAGGAAGGCAGCUCAUCACAAACACGGGUACACAAGCGAUGUCUCCCCGACUCCUUUAAGUACAGGGAACGCUGAGGCCCAGGUUUGGUGGCGCCCCCGGUAGGAGUGGGGGGGGAGAGAGGGGGAGGGGCAGGCGAGCCUCCCGCCGUGUCUAUAAGGUGGCCGCCUCCUCCGGCUGCCCACCUGGCCCACUACACAGCACAUGCAGACCUGUGCCUGAGAGUCACUCCUGGCCCCAUGGACGCCCCAGGGCACCUGGUCGGGGUGAGGGAGAAGUCCCAGGGUGGGUUGGUGUCUCACAGAGAGGAGGGAGGGUCACCAGGGUAGGAAGGGUCAGAGAAGGCCCCCCUGGGCAGUGAGUCUUAAAAGGAUGUCUGGGGUGGAUUCUCAUGGCCGACCGGCAGGAAGAGGGAGAACUCGUCGUUUAGGACAGAGCUGCCCCAGCCCCAGGCGAGGGGGGCCUGGGGUCCAGCCCCAGGGUGGUGCGGGCUCGGUCAGGUCUCCAUGUGUGAGCGGAUGGGUGCUCCAAGCUCUCUACCUGUCAGGGGGUUUUGGAGAGUCUAUCGGGGAGGGAAGAACAGGGGUUCCAGUCCUUCCCGGGGCUGCCUCCCAGAGCCAUAAAUUACGUCCAUUAUGUGCUGGACGUAAAUUAUGGUUUAUUAGUUUCCUAGGGUGUCUGUGACAAAGUCCCGCAGAUUGUGCGGCUUAAAGCACGGAAAUUUAUUCUCUCGCGGUUCUGGGGGCCAGAAGCUCUAAAUCAAGAUGUCAGCAGGGUGUGCUUCCUCUGAAAGAUCUGGGGGACAAUGUGUCCCUUGUCUCUCUCCCAGCUUCUGGCGUGGCUGGCCACCCUUGGAGUUCCUGGGUUUGAGGACGGGUCCCUCUGACCUCAGCCUCUGCCACCCACGGCUGAUUGUCCCUGUGUCUCUGCGUGUCCUCUCCUCUUCUUAGGGGGACACCAAGCAUUGGAUUUAGGGCCCUCCCUAUUCCGGUCUGACCUCAUCUAAACUAAUUAUAUCUGCAGUGACCCUAUUGCCAAAUAAGUCACAGCCGCAGGUCCCAGGGGUUAGGACGUGGACGUGUCUUCCCGUGGGGAACGCACGAUUUAACCUACAAUGGAUGGUAAAGUGUCUCCCUCCCUUUAGGAACCACGGGGUGUGGGCUGCGGGAUGUGGCCCGUGGUUCAGUCCCCACCGACGGUCGCCCAGGUGUGGCCUGUGCUGGCUGUAUUUCACCCGCAUUCCAGGGGACUGUCACACCCCGGGAGUCACCAGGGCUGCCCGUGUCGGUGGCUUUCUGAGGACGAGCUGAAGCUGUUGGCAUUAAGUGGGGGCUCCGGAAACGUCUGCCCUACAGGCUGCUCUAGCCUCCGAGGGGGACCCGAGAGAUAAGUGGGUGGACCCGAGGCUCAGUCGUGGGCAGCCGCGACGAGCAGAGACACUGAGGCUCAGCCCCGGCCGGGGUGUCCGGGGGCCUGUCUGCUCCAGGUGGGGGCUGGGUGGAGGCUCCAGCGAAGCCGCCUGAAUGAAGUGGCAGACGCUGGGCCCCGGACCAGCUCCUCUGGAGAAGAAUGCCAGCCGAAACUCCUACGGCCGGUGGCCUGGCCUGGUCGAACAGAAUUAGGGCUUUUCUUGCAGAAGUGGAGGAGGCAAAUCUGGAAGGGGUGUUGGGGGCAGGCACACAUGCUCACUGUCACCUCUCCACCGACUGACGGGCAAGUACCAUCCGCACGAGCGUGGACAGGGCCAGGCACUGUCUUCUGUCGGGGACACGCUGAGCCCAUCGACGAUCCACCGAGGGACCCCACCCUGGCCUCCAACCAGGUGGGCACCCGAGGAGAAGCCUGGAUGCCGUACGUCCAGCAGCAGUAGCUCGGUCUUCCAGGAGGAUCUCUGGGCUCCAAGAGGCCCCGACAGAGCAGGGUCCUGGGUCUCCACCUUCCCGUCUUGCCUGGAUGCUCACGAAGCCUGGGCGAGCACCUGAAACGUGCGUACUGUUGUGAUCCGUAACAGCGCGGUGGCCGUUGGGCCUGCAGGGGCUGCUGUCACAUCCGAGUUGACCUUGAGUCGUGGCUCCAUAGGAGACUAACUGUCUGCUGUCCCCUCUCUCAGCCGGGAGUGGAGACGGGUGUUCGCUGAGCCCUGGAGGGGGGGUAGACUGGCAUCACCAUGUGCCCGGGGGGCCCCCCUGCGCCCUGAUGCCCUCCUAAGUGGGCGACUCCCCGGGGCCCACGGGCCAGAGCCACACCCUCCGGAACUGGUUCUCCUGAGUACAGGGCCGGGCGGGACGGAAACUGAACAGGCUGUACCCAGGAAUGCAAAUGACUCUGCCUGAGAAAAGGGAAGGGCAUCCAGCCACGGCCCGGAGCUGGCGGCCCCUGAGCCUCAACACAGCUGGCAUGGAAAAUCCCCUGCCCCAGACGCGGCCUCGUCUUGUCUCCGUUCUGGAGGGCGGGGGUAGGAGAGGUGACCCCGAUGGGGAAGGCCUGGGUCUCACAGGCGCGUGCAGCUGAGCCCCGUGGACCUGUCUGGUCCAUCCAGCCGUGGCAAACUGGGGAGCCCUGCCACGGUGAGCCUGUUUCCACCCCCUAAAUUUGGAGCCCAGAGUUGGAAAAGUCAGACUGCAGGGAGGGGGGGGGCAAUGCCAGCCAAGCCACCAGGGCCCACGUGGGUGCAGGGGGUGGAAAUCCUGUCAUCCGCAGCCUGUGGCGGCUGGGGGCGGGCAGUGAGGACGGCGGGAGGGAGGGGCUUCUCGAAGGAGAAGCCCUGCUGGGGCACCCCCCAGCCCCAGGACAGGGGAGCCUCUUCCAGAGGAAGCAGCCGGCAGCUGGCCCCGGGGGAGGGGCCUUGCUCAACGCAGGAGGGCAAGGCCUGUGCUGUUUCCGGGCCGGGAGGGGUCGUCAGCCCAACUGAGAGGGACAAGCCCUGGGAUGAGCCCCGUGUUGCCCAACUCCUGCCCCCAGGCCUGGAAACCCAGAGGCCCCUGCCCUGUGUGAGUCUCUCGGUGGCCAUCAGCCACUGGGUAACUGUGGGAGCGGCCCUGGCAGGAAGCCGCCCUUGGAUGGCGCAGCUGCGGCUGGAGCCUGCCAAGCCUGACACCCACCUCCCGGGGGCCGAAACCGGCGUGGGGGCUGGGCCUCUCCCGCGGGGGCUGGUGAGCCAAUAGUGCCGAUGACGCACCGCGGUGACUGACAUAAGGCCCGGGGGCCGCGAGCAUCCUUCCAUUGGCCAAUAAGUAUAUCUUGACCCGAGGGAGGCAGGCGGCCGCGAAACAGUUAAGUGUUCAGAAUUUGCCUCAAAGUCUCCAGCAGUCACCUGAGAGUUCGCUUCUUUAGCAGCGCUCUCCUCCCCGUGUCCCCAGCCCGCCAACAGUCCACACGGGUCCCCUCGCCUCCGGGAUGCUCGUCACGUGAUCACGCACGUUUGAAUCGGAUGCGAUGGAAAUGUUCCAGGUUUUGAAAUGCCCACGUACCUUUAUUUCCACCGCCGGCGUAUUGUUCGCAGUAUUGCGAUGAGACUGGUAAGAUGGGCCUUAGAAUUAAGCCCACUGAAGUAGGAAGCCAUCAGGGGUGUGACGCCCCAAAGUCCCCACCCAUCAUCCCUCUUACCUGCCGGGUGAAAGACGGCUCCGGAGAGGAAAUACCGCCCUCGAGUUUCCCCAUGUCACGUGCUGGAUUUUUUCACGCUGCGUCCACGCCGUGGAGUGACCUUACAGCCCCUAGAAAUGUUUGCGUCUGCCCCCCCCCCCCCCCACCGCCCCGUCCCUUCUGUCCCCAUCUCUGAGCUGCUGUUUCAGGGAGUCAGCUCUGUUCAUGACACGAGAAAAAAAGUCAAGCAGGAAACGGAAGGACUGUUGUUUCUGGAGCAUGUGAACUCUUCGGACAGCUGUGUGACCACCCUGUCACCGCACGGAGACAGUCCAUCUCACUCCCGGGGGCGGGAGAGGACACGGCAGACGAGCGCCGGGACCCUGUGAGCUGUGCGUGGGCCUGUGCUGACCUCCCGCCCGCCCGCCCGGGGGUGAGGGCCCCUCCUGGGAAACGAGGCAGACUUCUUCCUGCUCCCCUGUGGGUCUUUCCAGGGACUGUCCAGGAGUGACGCCCCCGCUAGGGAGGACAUUCCCUAGAAGGGCCACGCCUCUUCCCGAAGAGGGUCCUUACACCCCGAGCUGAAAGUACCCCAUUUCUCAGAGCUUCUCAGAGUGACCCUGGAGAUCCGGGAAUUAAACUCAUGAGUUUAUGAAAUAAGAAACAAAGACGAAGCUUCUGGUAAGAUUGUGUUGGUGGAAAUGUCUGGAAAGAGGAGGUCAGCUUAGCGGCAAUGGGCGUAAAACCAGCUUGCUGGGAAAUCCCACGCGUAACCACAGGCUUAGAGCUUUAGGGCUCCUCCGAACUUUCUAGGGUUGGACCCCGAUGGAGGGCGUGUGCAGGAGGGGGGCCUCGGGCACAGCGCCCCCGACGGGACAUGCUCCCGGCAGACCCAGCAGCCAGGGCUUGUGCCUUGGUUUUUUCUUCUCUCCUUAAAAUUUUCUUUUUCUAACAAUAACUCUUUUGUUUAACAAGUUAAAGACCUUGUUUCAUUUAUUUGUUUGAUUGUGGUAAAACACACAUAAUGCAAA